AAAAGCUUGAAUGUUCCCUGAUCUAUGUCUGCAUCUGUGUUACCUACAUAACAAAACGAUGUUGUCUCGAAAUCUUUUAAUGUUUUCAGCAAUGAUGUUCUUGGCUACCAGUGUUUCAGCUGCUCCAGUUGAAGAGAAGGAGGUGGAAGAAGCUGAGGUUGAACCAGAGGAAGGUGAAGAGGAGCUCUCUGAGGAAGAAGAUGAUGAUGACUCCAAGAGUCAGGAUUUGAAUAUGGGAGCUGGGGCACAGCUUUCUUCCACAGCGUCAAAAGAUCAGGGCACACUGGGUCAGCUUGAAGCUUCAUUUGAAGGCGAUCCGUUUAAUGGCCAGAAACUAAAUGGUGCUAAACCGACAGACGGAGGUGGUCAUGACCGUGGCACCGGGGGAGAUCCACAGGCCCCGCCCCCUGACAGCAGCCUUCAUGAGCCCAGUCUGUCAGCACAUGCGGCUUCCAGUGGCCAUACAAGUGUCGCAGGUGCAAGUGGAGGGGUGCCAGCUCAUGGCAGUGCAGCCAUACAGCCAGGGCAUCCAGAUCAAGCAGUUCUUCCAGCUCAGCCUGAAAUGUUCUUAAAUGGUGAUGCAUCUACCUUCAGUUUCAGCUCUCAAGUGGACUCUCCAGGUGAGACAACGGGCAAAUCAGGGUCGGGGUUAGUGUACGUCCCGGACAUAUAG
rnacentral:lncRNA from 1 species